UUAACGCUGAGGUGUGAUGACGAGGCACUACGGUGCUGAAGUAACAAAUGCCCUGCUUCCAGGAAAAGCCUCUAAGCAUCAGGUAACAUCAAAUCGUACCCCAAACCGACACAGGUGGUCAGGUAGAGAAUACCAAGGCGCUUGAGAGAACUCGGGUGAAGGAACUAGGCAAAAUGGUGCCGUAACUUCGGGAGAAGGCACGCUGAUAUGUAGGUGAAGCCCCUGCGGGUGGAGCUGAAAUCAGUCGAAGAUACCAGCUGGCUGCAACUGUUUAUUAAAAACACAGCACUGUGCAAACACGAAAGUGGACGUAUACGGUGUGACGCCUGCCCGGUGCCGGAAGGUUAAUUGAUGGGGUUAGCGGUAACGCGAAGCUCUUGAUCGAAGCCCCGGUAAACGGCGGCCGUAACUAUAACGGUCCUAAGGUAGCGAAAUUCCUUGUCGGGUAAGUUCCGACCUGCACGAAUGGCGUAAUGAUGGCCAGGCUGUCUCCACCCGAGACUCAGUGAAAUUGAACUCGCUGUGAAGAUGCAGUGUACCCGCGGCAAGACGGAAAGACCCCGUGAACCUUUACUAUAGCUUGACACUGAACACUGGUCCUUGAUGUGUAGGAUAGGUGGGAGGCUUUGAAGUGUGGACGCCAGUCUGCAUGGAGCCGUCCUUGAAAUACCACCCUUUAAUGGCUGGUGUUCUAACGUAGACCCGUGAUCCGGGUUGCGGACAGUGUCUGGUGGGUAGUUUGACUGGGGCGGUCUCCUCCCAAAGAGUAACGGAGGAGCACGAAGGUUAGCUAAUCCUGGUCGGACAUCAGGAGGUUAGUGCAAUGGCAUAAGCUAGCUUGACUGCGAGAGUGACGGCUCGAGCAGGUGCGAAAGCAGGUCAUAGUGAUCCGGUGGUUCUGAAUGGAAGGGCCAUCGCUCAACGGAUAAAAGGUACUCCGGGGAUAACAGGCUGAUACCGCCCAAGAGUUCAUAUCGACGGCGGUGUUUGGCACCUCGAUGUCGGCUCAUCACAUCCUGGGGCUGAAGUAGGUCCCAAGGGUAUGGCUGUUCGCCAUUUAAAGUGGUACGCGAGCUGGGUUUAGAACGUCGUGAGACAGUUCGGUCCCUAUCUGCCGUGGGCGCUGGAGAAUUGAGGGGGGCUGCUCCUAGUACGAGAGGACCGGAGUGGACGCAUCACUGGUGUUCGGGUUGUCAUGCCAAUGGCACUGCCCGGUAGCUAAAUGCGGAAAAGAUAAGUGCUGAAAGCAUCUAAGCACGAAACUUGCCCCGAGAUGAGUUCUCCCUGAGACUUUAAGUCUCCUGAAGGAACGUUGAAGACGACGACGUUGAUAGGUCGGGUGUGUAAGCGCAGCGAUGCGUUGAGCUAACCGAUACUAAUGAACCGUGAGGCUUAACC
rnacentral:rRNA from 1 species